rnacentral:rRNA from 1 species
CGUGUAGGCGGCUUCGCAAGUUGGGUGUGAAAGCCCUCGGCUUAACCGAGGAAGUGCGCCCAAAACUACGAGGCUUGAGUGCCGGAGAGGGUGGCGGAAUUCCCGGUGUAGAGGUGAAAUUCGUAGAUAUCGGGAGGAACACCAGCGGCGAAGGCGGCCACCUGGACGGUAACUGACGCUGAGACGCGAAAGCGUGGGGAGCAAACA